GUCGAGAAUUUUUCUCAAUGGGGGAAACCCUGAAGGAGCGACGCCGCGUGGGGGAUGAAGGGCUUCGGCUCGUAAACCCCUGUCAUUUGUGAGCAAGUGUUAUUGUUUAAGAGAUGAUGACAUUGAUAGUAGCAAAAGAGGAAGGGACGGCUAACUCUGUGCCAGCAGCCGCGGUAAUACAGAGGUCCCAAGCGUUGUUCGGAAUCACUGGUCGUAAAGGGUGCGUAGGCGGUAUAGUAAGACUUGGGUGAAAUCUGCAUGCUUAACGUGGAGGGAGCCUGGGAGACUGCUGUGCUAGAGGAUUGGAAGGGAGACUGGAAUUCUUGGAGUAGCAGUGAAAUGCGUAGAUAUCAAGAGGAACACCAGUGGCGAAGGCGAGUCUCUGGACAAGACCUGACGCUGAGGCACGAAGGCCAGGGGAUCAAACGGGAUUAGAAACCCCAGUAGUCC
rnacentral:rRNA from 1 species